UUUUGAGUUUUUUCAGCUCAACUCGAUUGCUUCAACCUCUUAACUACGACAGUGAUCAGUGCCAGUCUGCCAGAAGAAGAAUGAGAACCACGUUGCUCAUUGAUCGAUCUUCGUAAGAGAGAAAAUUUAGACAAGAAAUGAGUGUAGAUUUUGAAGUUGAAAGUAAAUGAGAUGAAUGUGAAUGAACAAGUGGAACAUAACAUACAGAUACAGGUACUUUGGAUGCAAAGCUUACUGAGGAGCUACACCAUUGCUCGCUUCCAAUAGCAUGCAGCUCUUGUGCUUCAUGUAAGAUGGUGGUUAUUCUAUGAUCUUAUGAUAAUUCAAACAUUCUCUCAAGCACAUUUCUACAUACAAUUGCAGUUAUCACUUAUCAGUGAUAACUCCUGUAUCAGUUGGAAAGCACUGGAUGCAAACCUUGAUACAUAUACAGAUGUGGCAGAGCUUGGUGAAGAUGCAUGCCCAUCCUGAUUUGCAAAAGCAUCUAGUUCUUCUGCUUCACAAGAGGCCCUCUCAGCCUUUUUUUGCAAGUAUCGACGCCAUGCUGCCUGUAUCAUACAUGCAGCCCACGUCCUCCACUGCUGGGAGAAGAACCUGGAGACACAUUGCUGAAUAAGGUUUUGAAUUCUAUCUGCUUUUUUCUAAUUUUCAUGUUUAAGAUGGAGUUACUUAGAAGAUCCUUACCCUAAUAACAUGAGCAAGUAGGAAUAAUGACCUACAAUAGGGUUGGUCGUUAAACGUAUUUUUCAUCACUAUUGAUAAUGUUUCUAUCUUAUUUCGAAUGCAAUUGAAUUAUGUUGGUUUUG